UGUAAUAGAACCAAACGUGGUCCGAACUGUGUUCAAAGUUUUACUGAACCUUUCCGCACUGUUUCGCAAAAUUUUUCGCGUAUUUUCGUUAAAAGAUAACACCGAUAAAACACUUCUGUCUACCGGUUUGGUUUCAUUUUUGUCACAAUCCUCAAAAUUACUUUGUAAUCGGCGCCGACAAGUGUAACCAGUUGGGCGAUCACCGCGGGCAGAUUUUAAUAACUCACUUGGCGGCAUUUUUAAUUAAUUUUAUAGAAAUAACCGUAUUUUAAAACCUGCUCAAACGUGACCGUUAUUCGAAUUUGACGUUUCGAGUUUAAAUCAAACACCGCGCCAACAUAACGAGCAAAAAACCCUGGGUUUUGACUUUUUGUCACUUUGAGGUUAUGCAACUAUUUAUUCCCAAAAAUGUGUUCCAAAAUAUUUCUUUUUGUAUAUUUAUGAUGUUUGUAAUUUUGUCUUUAAUUAGUUGUGUUUUAAAAUGAAUUCUAGUGACAACAAACUCGCAAAAACGAACGGACUGUGCCUGAGUGUUAAAAAUGAGAAACGCAGUGAUUAUCUCGAAUGGGAUGAGUAUUUUAUGGCCAUGACGUUUUUGGAACUGAGACGAGGAGCUCCAGGUCAUAACAACAAUGCUGCAAUUAUUCUAAAUCAGCGUAAAAUAAUAAUAAGCAUGGCCAACAGUUGUCUUGACACAAAUAAACACGAGUUGCAUACUAGUCACGCUGAAUAUAAAGCCUUACAAAAAAUUCAAGAGGGAAAUGUUAUGUACACAACUUCGUUUCCGUGUGACAAAUGUGCCGAAGCUAUUGCACAAGCUGGAAUUAAAGAAAUUGUUUUUUAUCAAAACAAUACUGACGAUAAUAUAGCCAAAGAACUAUGCGAUAAAUAUGGAAUUACUUAUAGGCAAUUUAACACAAAAAAGAAAAGGAUUGAGCUCGAUUUUAGCCAAUUUUGUGAUGAUUAAAUAAAAUAAAUAACUAAUCACAGUGGCCUAUGAUUUUGAAAUUAAGUUGGCAACUGUCAAAUUCACAGGUCACUGUGGUUAGAAAUUUAAUUUAAAAUAUUUUUUUAACGAUUUUAAUAAAUACCUGGGGUCAUGCCUAAAAAUACA